rnacentral:rRNA from 1 species
AGCGUAGACGGAGUGGCAAGUCUGAUGUGAAAACCCGGGGCUCAACCCCGGGACUGCAUUGGAAACUGUCAAUCUAGAGUACCGGAGAGGUAAGCGGAAUUCCUAGUGUAGCGGUGAAAUGCGUAGAUAUUAGGAGGAACACCAGUGGCGAAGGCGGCUUACUGGACGGUAACUGACGUUGAGGCUCGAAAGUGUGGGUAGCAAACA